rnacentral:rRNA from 1 species
UCCUUUUGUUUUUUAUUUAAGGUCUGACCUGCCCAAUGAGGAAUUGAAUGGCCGCAGUAUUUUAACUGUGCUAAGGUAGCAUAAUCAUUUGUCUUUUAAUUGAGGGCUGGAAUGAAAGGUUGGACGAAAUAUUAGCUUUCUUUGUCUUAAUUUGAAGAACUUAAUUUUUGAGUUAAAAAGCUUAAAUAUUCUUGUUGGACGAGAAGACCCUAUAGAUCUUUAUAAUUUUAUGUUUUGGUAAUUUAGAUUAUUAUUUACUUAAAGCAAAGUAAUUAUUUUGUUGGGGUGACUGUAGAAUUAAAAUAACUUCUAUUUAUUUGUUUCAUUUAUUAAUGUUUUUAUGAUCCAUAUUUUAUGAUUAUAAGAUUAAG